GGGAUGGUAGCUCAAUGGGAGAGCAUUCGCCUUGCACGCGACAGGCUGUGGGUUCGAGUCCCACCCUUUCCACCA
rnacentral:tRNA from 1 species